CGGGGGGAUGGGGCGUGCCUGGGCGGGGCGGGCCGGGCGCGUGCAGCCGCGGGGAGCCGCCCUCAGCCGCCCUCCGGACCGCCGGUCCCGUCCCGUCCCGUCCCGUCCCGUCCCGUCUCGUCACAGCGCCGCGCGACCAUGUCCAAGUCGCUGAAGAAGAUCGUGGAGGAGAGCCGUGAGAAGAACCAACCCGAGGUGGACAUGUGUGACCGCGGCAUCUCCAACAUGCUGGACGUGCCCGGCCUCUUUACGUUGUCUCAUAUCACACAGCUGGUUCUGAGUCACAACAAGCUUACAACUGUGCCAGCAAACAUCGCAGACCUGAGAAACAUUGAAGUGCUCAACUUUUUCAACAACCAGAUUGAGGAGCUGCCUACACAGAUUAGCAGCCUUCAGAAGCUCAAACACCUGAAUCUUGGCAUGAACAGGUUAAACACCUUGCCAAGAGGAUUUGGCUCUUUACCAGCGCUGGAGGUUCUUGACUUGACUUACAACAACUUAAAUGAAAAUUCUCUACCAGGAAACUUCUUCUAUCUGACCACCCUGCGUGCACUCUAUCUAAGUGACAACGAUUUUGAAAUCCUGCCGCCAGAUAUUGGGAAGCUCACAAAGUUGCAGAUACUGAGUCUUAGAGACAAUGACCUGAUAUCACUGCCUAAAGAAAUUGGUGAGCUCACUCAGCUCAAGGAACUUCAUAUCCAGGGAAAUCGUCUUACUGUGCUGCCCCCAGAACUAGGUAAUCUGGAUUUGACUGGUCAAAAGCAAGUCUUCAAAGCAGAGAACAAUCCUUGGGUUACCCCUAUUGCUGACCAGUUCCAGCUGGGAGUGUCUCAUGUUUUUGAAUACAUUCGUUCAGAAACAUACAAAUAGGCAACAAGACUAUUGCUGAAAAAAAAAAUACAGGAUGGGAAGGCUUUUCACCAACCUGAUAUGCAGUUAGAGUGACUAUAAGAUACUCACAGUUACCUUAUCUGGUGGCUGUUCUACAAGCCAUUGGAUAAUUUGUGUACCCAGUCUUUAUGGCAGACACAUGCAGGCGAAUCCUGAACCUCCAAAGAAGAACAAUGACAAGUCAAAGAAGAUCAGCCGUAAGCCUCUGGCAGCCAAGAAUAAAUAAGGCCCUGGCUCCUGCCUCUGUUUUUAUAUCUUUUACAUUGCUUUUGCAUGUGCCUAUAAUAUUCCUACACGUCUCCUCUUAUUCAUAAAAGGCAGACACUAGAGGUAAAAGCAUUUUACUAUGUAUACUGCUUUAGAAGACACUGUUUGAGGAAUACAGAAUUACAUAUUCUCCUGAUUAUGGUCACAUUUGUGUAGCCAUUUAAUAUAUCACUGUCAAACACAUUUUAGCUUUUAUAUUUAUAUGUAUAUUAAUGUCCUCUUAUUCACAUGUAUCACAUCCUGUUAAUAUCAGGGGGUUUGCACCUAUAUUAUACGAUAUUAAAUUUCAUAUAAUAUUCCAAGUGAUUUUAAUAAAGGUCUUUAUUUGUAUUGUG